rnacentral:ncRNA from 1 species
UAAAGGUUUGGUCCUAGCCUUACUAUCAGCCUUAACCCCACUUACACAUGCAAGUCUCCGCAGCCCUGUGAGAAUGCCCCCAAUUUCCCACACGGAAAUAGGGAGCCGGCAUCAGGCACAAUUACUUUAGCCCAAGACGCCUUGCUCAGCCACACCCCCAAGGGAACUCAGCAGUGACAAACAUUAAGCCAUAAGUGAAAACUUGACUUAGUCCAGGUUAAGAGGGCCGGUAAAACUCGUGCCAGCCACCGCGGUUAUACGAGAGGCCCUAGUUGAUAAAUGCGGCGUAAAGAGUGGUUAUGGAAUUAUUUUUAUUAAAGCCGAAAGCCCCUUAGACUGUCAUACGCACCCAGAGGCUAGAACCCCACUAAACGAAAGUAGCUUUAUUAAUGCCCACCAGAACCCACGACAGCUGGGACACAAACUGGGAUUAGAUACCCCACUAUGCCCAGCCAUAAACCUAGAUACUCUUACACAACUAGUAUCCGCCAGGGAACUACGAGCAUUAGCUUAAAACCCAAAGGACUUGGCGGUGCCUCAGACCCCCCUAGAGGAGCCUGUUCUAGAACCGAUAAUCCCCGUUUAACCUCACCACUCCUUGCCCUUUCCGCCUAUAUACCACCGUCGCCAGCUUACCCUGUGAAGGAUUAAAAGUAAGCAAAAUGGAAACCUUCCAAGACGUCAGGUCGAGGUGUAGCACACGAAGUGGGAAGAAAUGGGCUACAUUGCCUGAUUCAGGCUAUUCACGGAAGGUCACCUGAAACGGUAACUCUAAGGUGGAUUUAGCAGUAAGGGGGGAAUAGAGCGCCCCCUUGAAGUCGGCUCUGAGGCGCGCACACACCGCCCGUCACUCUCCCCAACAACCACACCACCAAGAUAAAUAACACCACAAAAGAAAUAAAGGGGAGGCAAGUCGUAACAUGGUAAGUGUACCGGAAGGUGCACUUGGAAUAAU